rnacentral:rRNA from 1 species
UACGGAGGGUGCAAGCGUUAUCCGGAUUCACUGGGUUUAAAGGGUGCAUAGGUGGGUUGGUAAGUCAGUGGUGAAAUCUCCGAGCUUAACUUGGAAACUGCCAUUGAUACUAUCAGUCUUGAAUAUUGUGGAGGUCAGCGGAAUAUGUCAUGUAGCGGUGAAAUGCUUAGAUAUGACAUAGAACACCAAUUGCGAAGGCAGCUGGCUACUCAUAUAUUGACACUGGAGGCACGAAAGCGUGGGAUCAAACAGG